UACGUAGGGUGCAAGCGUCAAUCGGAAUUACUGGGCGUAAAGCGUGCGCAGGCGGUUAUGCAAGACAGAUGUGAAAUCCCCGGGCUUAACCUGGGAACCGCAUUUGUGACUGCAUAGCUGGAGUACGGCAGAGGGGGAUGGAAUUCCGCGUGUAGCAGUGAAAUGCGUAGAUAUCGUAAGGAAGGCCGGUGGCGAAAGCGAACCUCUGGGCAGCUUCUGACGCUGUGGCACGAAGGCUAGGGGAGCAAACGGG
rnacentral:rRNA from 1 species